CGCUUAUCAAGAGAGGCAGAGGGAAUGGCCCUAUGAAGCCUCAGCAACAGGUUCCAAAUCGGGAUACUGUGCUAAUUCCACAAGCAGGUGCUUGAAAGAUGAGUC
rfam:Bacillus marisflavi strain JCM 11544 scaffold1, whole genome shotgun sequence.